GGAUGUGUGGGCAAUCUGGCUGUGACAUCUGCCUCCCCAUUGAUCGCCAGGGUAGAUUCGGCUGAUCUGGCUGGCUAGGCGGGUGUCCCCUUCCUCCCUCGCCACUCCAUGUUUGUCCCUCUAGAAGCUGUGUUGAGGAGGAUGAGCUUUGCCAAACAGAGGAGGACGGGUCUUCAGUCAGGGGUGUAUAUGUAGCUGUGCUCCCCUCUGGUAACUUCCAAACAAGCUCGCAAGAAGACGUUGGACACAGAAAGACAAAUGCUAUGCAUUUUCACUGAUAUCCGGGAGCUAAAAAAGUUUAUCUUCUU
rnacentral:snRNA from 1 species